AUAAGAGACAGGUAUAGACCCGAAACCCGGUGAUCUAGCCAUGGGCAGGUUGAAGGUUGGGUAACACUAACUGGAGGACCGAACCGACUAAUGUUGAAAAAUUAGCGGAUGACCUGUGGCUGGGGGUGAAAGGCCAAUCAAACCGGGAGAUAGCUGGUUCUCCCCGAAAGCUAUUUAGGUAGCGCCUCGUGAAUUCAUCUCCGGGGGUAGAGCACUGUUUCGGCUAGGGGGCCAUCCCGGCUUACCAACCCGAUGCAAACUGCGAAUACCGGAGAAUGUUAUCACGGGAGACACACGGCGGGUGCUAACGUCCGUCGUGAAGAGGGAAACAACCCAGACCGCCAGCUAAGGUCCCAAAGUCAUGGUUAAGUGGGAAACGAUGUGGGAAGGCCCAGACAGCCAGGAUGUUGGCUUAGAAGCAGCCAUCAUUUAAAGAAAGCGUAAUAGCUCACUGGUCGAGUCGGCCUGCGCGGAAGAUGUAACGGGGCUAAACC
rnacentral:rRNA from 1 species